GGGGAUGUGGCUCAAGCGGUAGAGCACUCGCCUGGCAAGCGUGUGGCCCGGGUUUGAUCCUCAGCACCA
rnacentral:tRNA from 1 species